rnacentral:rRNA from 1 species
UACGGAGGGGGCUAGCGUUGUUCGGAAUUACUGGGCGUAAAGCGCACGUAGGCGGCUUUGUAAGUUAGAGGUGAAAGCCCGGAGCUCAACUCCGGAACUGCCUUUAAGACUGCAUCGCUAGAAUUGUGGAGAGGUGAGUGGAAUUCCGAGUGUAGAGGUGAAAUUCGUAGAUAUUCGGAAGAACACCAGUGGCGAAGGCGACUCACUGGACAUGUAUUGACGCUGAGGUGCGAAAGCGUGGGGAGCAAACAGG